ensembl:lncRNA
CAGGAAAUUCUCCUAGAAAUAUUCAAGGGAAUGCUAGAAGACAAAGAUUAAAAAAUGUGAUAAGGGGGGAAGAAACCUUUGUUUGCCACAUAUCUUGCUUUCUACAAUAUUGCCAGGAAAACAAAAGGAGUGAUCUUCAUAGGGAACCAGUGUGAUGAUGGUUGGUGAAAUAAAAAAUAUUCAAAAAAUAAUCCAAAAAAUAGUCACGGAAAUAUUUACGGAAAUAUCCACGGAAAUAUUCAUGAAAAUAUUCAAGAAAUAUUCAAAGGAAAGAUUGAUUACAAAGAUUAUCAAAUGUGAUAAGGGGGGAAGGAAACCUGUGUUUGCCACAUAUCUUUUGUCCUACAAUAUUGCCAGGAAAAGAAAAGGAGUGAUCUUCAUAGGAAACCAGUGGGAUGAUAGUUGUUUAAAAAAAAAAAAAAUCAUUAAUAUUAAAAAAAUAUUCAAAAAUAUCCAAAAAAUAUUCACGGAAAUAUUCAUGAAAAUAUUCACGGAAAUAUUCAUGAAAAUAUUCAAGAAAUAUUCAAAGGAAUGAUUGAUUACAAAGAUUAAAAAAUGUGAUAAGGGGGGAAGGAAACCUUUGUUUGCCACAUAUCUUGCGUUCUACAAUAUUGCCAGGAAAACAAAAGGAGUGAUCUUCUUAGGGAACCAGUGUGAUGAUGGUUGGUGAAAUAAAAAAUAUUCAAAAAAUAUACACGAAAAUAUUCACGGAAAUAUUCACGGAAAUAUUCAGGAAAAUAUUCAAGAAAUAUUCAAAGGAAAGAUUGAUUACAAAGAUUAUCAAAUGUGAUAAGGGGGGAAGGAAACCUUUGUUUGCCACAUAUCUUGCGUUCUACAAUAUUGCCAGGAAAACAAAAGGAGUGAUCUUCAUAGGGAACCAGUCCGAUGAUGGUUGGUGAAAUUAAAAAUAUUCAAAAAUAUUCAAAAAAUAAUCACGCAAAUAUUCAUGCAAAUAUUUCAGAAAUAUUCAAAGGAAUGAUUGAUUAAAAAGAUUAAAAAAUGUUAUAAGGGGGGAAGGAAACCUGUGUUUUCCACAUAUCUUGCGUUCUACAAUAUUGCCAGGAAAACAAAAGGAGUGAUCUUCUUAGGGAACCAGUGUGAUGAUGGUUGGUGAAAUAAAAAAUAUUCAAAAAAUAAUCCAAAAAAUAUUCACGGAAAUAUUCACGGAAAUAUUCACGGAAAUAUUCAUGAAAAUAUUCAAGAAAUAUUCAAAGGAAUGAUUGAUUACAAAGAUUAUCAAAUGUGAUAAGGGGGGAAGAAACCUUUGUUUGCCACAUAUCUUGCUUUCUACAAUAUUGCCAGGAAAAGAAAAGGAGUGAUCUUCAUAGGGAACCAGUGUGAUGAUGGUUGGUGAAAUAAAAAAUAUUCAAAAAAUAAUCCAAAAAAUAUUCACGGAAAUAUUCACGGAAAUAUUCACGGAAAUAUUCAUGAAAAUAUUCAAGAAAUAUUCAAGAAAUAUUCAAAGGAAUGAUUGAAUACAAAGAUUAAAAAAUGUGAUAAGGGGGGAAGGAAACCUGUGUUUGCCACAUAUCUUGCGUUCUACAAUAUUGCCAGGAAAACAAAAGGAGUGAUCUUCAUAGGGAACCAGUCCGAUGAUGGUUGGUGAAAUUAAAAAUAUUCCAAAAAAAUUCCAAAAAUAUUCACGGAACUAUUCACAGAAAUAUUCACGGAAAUAUUAAUGAAAAUAUUCAAGAAAUAUUCAAAGGAAUGAUUGAUUACAAAGAUUAUCAAAUGUGAUAAGGGGGGAAGGAAACCUGUGUUUUCCACAUAUCUCGCGUUCUACAAUAUUGCCAGGAAAACAAAAGGAGUGAUCUUCUUAGGGAACCAGUGUGAUGAUGGUUGGUGAAAUAAAAAAUAUUCAAAAAAUAAUCCAAAAAAUAUUCACGAAAAUAUUCACGGAAAUAUAUUCACGGAAAUAUUCACGAAAAUAUUCAUGAAAAUAUUCAAGAAAUAUUCAAAGGAAUCAUUGAUUACAAAGAUUAUCAAAUGUGAUAAGGGGGAAGGAAACCUGUGUUUGCCACAUAUCUUGCUUUCUACAAUAUUGCCAGGAAAACAAAAGGAGUGAUCUUCAUAGGGAACCAGGGGGAAGGAAACCUGUGUUUGCCACAUAUCUUGCUUUCUACAAUAUUGCCAGGAAAACAAAAGGAGUGAUCUUCAUAGGGAACCAGUGUGAUGAUGGUGUGUGAAAUAAAAAAUAUUCAAAAAAUAAUCCAAAAAAUAUUCACGGAAAUAUUCACGGAAAUAUUCACUGAAAUAUUCACGGAAAUAUUCACGGAAAUAUUCACGGAAAUAUUCAAAGGAAAGAUUGAUUACAAAGAUUAUCAAAUGUGAUAAGGGGGAAGGAAACCUGUGUUUGCCACAUAUCUUGCGUUCUACAAUAUUGCCAGGAAAACAAAAGGAGUGAUCUUCAUAGGAGAUCAGUGUGAUGAUGGUUGGUGAAAUAAAAAAUAUUCUAAAAAUGAUCCCAAAAAUAUUCACGGAAAUAUUCACAAGAUGUUCAAAGGAAUGAUUGAAUACA